rnacentral:rRNA from 1 species
GACAGAGGUGCCGAGCGUUAGGCGGAAUCACUGGGCUUAAAGCGCGUGUAGGCGGAAGGGCACGUCCGUUGCUGAAAUCCCCCGGCUCAACCGGGGAACGGGCGCGGAUACGACUCUUCUGGAGGGGCGUAGGGGGACCUGGAACUUCCGGUGGAGCGGUGAAAUGCGUUGAGAUCGGAAGGAACGCCCGUGGCGAAAGCGAGGUCCUGGACGCCUACUGACGCUGAGACGCGAAAGCCAGGGGAGCGAACGGG